rnacentral:rRNA from 1 species
UACGUAGGGAGCAAGCGUUGUCCGGAAUCAUUGGGCGUAAAGCGCGCGUAGGCGGCCCUGUAAGUCCGUUGUGAAAGUCAAAGGCUCAACCUUUGAAAGCCGAUGGAUACUGCAGGGCUAGAGUCCGGAAGAGGCGAGUGGAAUUCCUGGUGGUAGCGGUGGAAUGCGCAGAUAUCAGGAGGAACACCAAUAGCGAAGGCAGCUCGCUGGGACGGUACUGACGCUAAGGCGCGAAAGCGUGGGGAGCGAACAGG